rnacentral:rRNA from 1 species
UACGUAGGUGGCAAGCGUUGUCCGGAUUUACUGGGCGUAAAGAGCGCGCAGGCGGUCGUUCAAGUCGAAUGUGAAAUCCCCCGGCUCAACUGGGGAGGGUCAUUCGAUACUGAUCGACUCGAAGGCAGGAGAGGGAAGCGGAAUUCCCGGUGUAGUGGUGAAAUGCGUAGAUAUCGGGAGGAACACCAGUGGCGAAGGCGGCUUCCUGGCCUGUUCUUGACGCUGAGGCGCGAAAGCGUGGGGAGCAAACAGG